UACGUAGGGUGCAAGCGUUAAUCGGAAUUACUGGGCGUAAAGCGCGCGCAGGCGGUUGUGCAAGACAGGGGUGAAAUCCCCGGGCUUAACCUGGGAACUGCACUUGUGACUGCACAGCUGGAGUACGGCAGAGGGGGAUGGAAUUCCGCGUGUAGCAGUGAAAUGCGUAGAUAUGCGGAGGAACACCGAUGGCGAAGGCAGUCCCCUGGGCCUGUACUGACGCUCAUGCACGAAAGCGUGGGGAGCAAACAGG
rnacentral:rRNA from 1 species